UACGUAGGGCGCAAGCGUUGUCCGGAAUUAUUGGGCGUAAAGAGCUCGUAGGUGGUGUGUCGCGUCUGCCGUGAAAGCCCGGGCUUAACUCCGGGUCUGCGGUGGAUACGGGCAGACUAGAGGCAGGUAGGGGAGAACGGAAUUCCCGGUGUAGCGGUGAAAUGCGUAGAUAUCGGAAGGAACACCUGUGGCGAAAGCGGCUCACUGGACCACAACUGACGCUGAUGCGCGAAAGCUAGGGGAGCAAACAGG
rnacentral:rRNA from 1 species